rnacentral:tRNA from 1 species
AUUUAUAUAGUUUAAAAAAAAAACAUUAUAUUUUCAUUAUAAAAAUAGAUUAUUCUUAUAAAUA